rnacentral:rRNA from 1 species
GGGCCCGCACAAGCAGUGGAGUAUGUGGUUUAAUUCGAAGCAACGCGAAGAACCUUACCAGGGCUUGACAUGCAGGUGAAUAUGUUAGAGAUAAUAUAGUCCUUCGGGACACCUGUGCAGGUGGUGCAUGGUUGUCGUCAGCUCGUGUCGUGAGAUGUUGGGUUAAGUCCCGCAACGAGCGCAACCCCUGUUGUUAGUUGCCAUCAUUCAGUUGGGCACUCUAGCGAGACUGCCGGUGACAAAUCGGAGGAAGGUGGGGACGACGUCAAAUCAUCAUGCCCCUUAUGUCCUGGGCUACACACGUACUACAAUGGCUAUUACAACGGGAAGCGAAGCGGUAACGCGGAGCCAAACCUUAAAAAUAGCCCCAGUUCAGAUUGUGGGCUGCAACUCGCCCACAUGAAGUCGGAAUUGCUAGUAAUGGCAGGUCAGCAUACUGCCGUGAAUACGUUCCCGGGCCUU